ACAAAGUAAUUAAGCACAUCAGAAUGACCUGCAAUGAGUACAGAGUGCAAGAAAACAAGAAUGGAUGUUCUAAACCCAUUUGAACAAAAGUUAUGGCACGAUGAACAUUCCAAAUUAGUCUACUCCAAGCUGGGAUUUCAGCCACAAAUAUUCAACAUGCCACAACUUUUGUUCAAAUGGGCUUAGAACAUCCAUUCUUGUUUUCUUGCACUCUGUACUCAUUCCAGGUCAUUCUAAUGUGCCUAAUUACUUUGUAACUCUCUCAGUUUAGGCAAACUGGGGCUCCCAAAAUGGCACAUGGAAUUCAAAAACUACACAUUGUACUAGUAAACAAAUUGCAUAUUUGAAAUCAGCACACAAAUAUACAUAGACUCAGCGAGUUUGAUUUAAAUUGGUAAAGAAUUGUAAAAAAAGUUUUCAGGCGCAGUGUCCCCCCUUAACAGGUACAUCAUAUGCAGC
rnacentral:lncRNA from 1 species